AUAAAAAUCAACUUUGUUGGUGAAUCAUAAUAACUUCUCGGACCGCAUGGCCUCGUGCUGGCGGUGCUUCAUUCAAAUAUCUGCCCUAUCAACUGUCGAUGGUAGGAUAGAGGCCUACCAUGGUUGCAACGGGUAACGGGGAAUAAGGGUUCGAUUCCGGAGAGGGAGCCUGAGAAACGGCUACCACAUCCAAGGAAGGCAGCAGGCGCGCAAAUUACCCAAUCCCAACACGGGGAGGUAGUGACAAUAUGUAACAAUAUACGGCCUUAUACGUCGUAUAAUUGGAAUGAGUACAAUUUAAAUCCCUUAACGAGGAACAAUUGGAGGGCAAGUCUGGUGCCAGCAGCCGCGGUAAUUCCAGCUCCAAUAGCGUAUAUUAAAGUUGUUGCAGUUAAAAAGCUCGUAGUUGGACCUUGGACCUGGACAGGCGGUCCGCCUCACGGCGAGUACUGUCUUGCUGGGUCCUUCCUCUUGGUGAUCUGUUGUUUCGGCAG
rnacentral:rRNA from 1 species